GAUGAACGCUGGCGGCGUGCUUAACACAUGCAAGUCGAACGAUGAAGCCCAGCUUGCUGGGUGGAUUAGUGGCGAACGGGUGAGUAACACGUGAGUACCCUGCCCUUAACUCUGGGAUAAGCCUGGAAAACUGGGUCUAAUACCGGAUAGGAGCGUCCACCGCAUGGUGGGUGUUGGAAAGAUUUAUCGGUUUUGGAUGGACUCGCGGCCUAUCAGCUUGUUGGAGGGGUAAUGGCUCACCAAGGCGACGACGGGUAGCCGGCCUGAGAGGGUGACCGGCCACACUGGGACUGAGACACGGCCCAGACUCCUACGGGAGGCAGCGGUGGGGAAUAUUGCACAAUGGGCGAAAGCCUGAUGCAGCGACGCCGCGUGAGGGAUGACGGCCUUCGGGUUGUAAACCUCUUUCAGUAGGGAAGAAGCGAAAGUGACGGUACCUGCAGAAGAAGCACCGGCUAACUACGUG
rnacentral:rRNA from 1 species